UGAAUGAAGAGUUUGAUCCUGGCUCAGGAUGAACGCUGACAGAAUGCUUAACACAUGCAAGUCGAUGAGAAGACUCCCUUCGGGGAGAGGGUAUCAUGGCGGACGGGUGAGUAACGCGUAAAGAACUUGCCAUAUGGACAGGGAUAACCGAUGGAAACGACGGAUAAGACCUGAUAUAAUGAAUUAAUGGCAUCAUUGAUUCAUGAAAAGCAAUGCCAUAUGAGAGCUUUGCGUCCUAUUAGCUAGUUGGUAGUGUAACGGACAACCAAGGCGAUGAUAGGUAGCCGGCCUGAGAGGGUGGACGGCCACAAGGGGACUGAGAUACGGCCCUUACUCUUACGGGAGGCAGCAGUGGGGAAUAUUGGACAAUGGAGGUAACUCUGAUCCAGCAAUUCUGUGUGCACGACGAAGGUCUUCGGAUUGUAAAGUGCUUUAAGUUGGGAAGAAAAAAAUGACGGUACCAACAGAAUAAGCGACGGCUAAAUACGUGCCAGCAGCCGCGGUAAUACGUAUGUCGCAAGCGUUAUCCGGAAUUAUUGGGCAUAAAGGGCAUCUAGGCGGGGUUUCAAGUCGACGGUGAAAACUAGUGGCUCAACCAUUAGCUUGCCGACGAAACUGAAAUUCUAGAGUAUUGGAAAGGUGGGCGGAACUACAUGAGUAGAGGUGAAAUUCGUAGAUAUAUGUAGGAAUGCCGAUGACGAAGGUAGCUCACUGGACAAAAACUGACGCUGAAGUGCGAAAGCUAGGGGAGCAAACAGGAUUAGAUACCCUGGUAGUCCUAGCUGUAAACGAUGUUCACUGGGUGUGGGCGAGUAGAUCGUCUGUGCCGAAGCAAAUGCGAUAAGUGAACCGCCUGGGGAGUACGGCCGCAAGGCUGAAACUCAAAGGAAUUGACGGGGACCCGCACAAGCGGUGGAGCAUGUGGUUUAAUUCGACGCAACGCGAGGAACCUUACCAGAUCUUGACAUCUCCGGAAUUAGGUAGAGAUACUUAAGUGCCUUCGGGAACCGGAAGACAGGUGGUGCAUGGCUGUCGACAGCUCGUGUCGUGAGAUGUUGGGUUAAGUCCCGCAACGAGCGCAACCCCUAUCGUUAGUUACUAACAUUAAGUUGAGGACUUUAGCGAGACUGCCUGCGAAGAGCAGGAGGAAGGUGGGGAUGACGUCAAGUCAUCAUGCCCCUUAUGAUCUGGGCUACACACGUGCUACAAUGGACAGUACAAAGAGAAGCAAAAUGGUGACAUGGAGCAAAUCAAGAAAUCUGUUCUCAGUUCGGAUUGAAGUCUGCAACUCGACUUCAUGAAGUUGGAAUCGCUAGUAAUCGCGGAUCAGCAAUGCCGCGGUGAAUACGUUCUCGGGUCUUGUACACACCGCCCGUCACACCACGAGAGUUUGUUGCACCUGAAAUUGCUGGCCUAACCCGUAAGGGAAGGAAGUACUGAAGGUGUGGUAAGCGAUUGGGGUGAAGUCGUAACAAGGUAUCCGUACCGGAAGGUGCGGAUGGAUCACCUCCUUU
rfam:Sebaldella termitidis ATCC 33386, complete genome.